AGAUUUUUUUCCAUCGGUCCCAUUCCGAGAUUUGUACGUUCCGUCUAUUCUGAUUUUGUGACCUUUUUAUUGAAGUUCUCGAGUAUGUUUGUGUGUUAACUGAUAGAUACAUCGUCGGAUUAUUGUAAUGGUUGUCGUUGCUAUUGUUUCGUUAGAAUUGGGUAGUCUUCAUCGAGAAAUGGAGAUGAUGUUUGUGAGUUUAUAGGGUAAAUGGGUCAGGAUAGGGUGCUUUGCAAGUGUUUGAUGAAUGACCCAGUUCUCCAAUUUGCGAAUAGACGUGCAAUUUUGGACUUUUUUUAUGCUGUUGCGAAUAGCGGGGCGAGGCUCGAAUCGGCGUGAGUUCUUUCUUGGGUGUUCUUCCUUUUUUUUUCUGGGGGAAAGAAAGAAAAUGGAGAGGACAAAGCUAUCGUUGGAUAGAUGCUCAAGAACACUCAGACUUCACUUGCAGAAGGUAGUGCUUCAUGUGUUAAUUUUUUUGAAGCUUUCUUUGGAUAGAUGCUCAUUCUCUUUCUUGUCACUUCAAAACAAGAACGCAAUCGCCAGUUGACAAAGCCUGUAACUGCUGAAAAGAUGGAAACAAGAAAAGCAGAGCUUGAGACUAACCUUGCAACUAAUCUCAAGAGGUAGAAGCAAGAGUAUGAGGCUAUUAUAUCCUCAUCAGAGACUGAUUUGCAUGAAAAUGAAGCGGAAUCAAAGUGGCAGGAGCUAAAAGAUACUAAAUCAUUGGUCAUUGAUGCAACCCAGCGAUUAGAAGGAAUUAAUAGAAGUACAGAGGAAACAAAUAAGCAAAUCAAAAAGAUCAAAGAUGAGAUGGCAAAGUUGAAGGCUUUGGAGGACACCUAUGGGAAAACACUUCAGGAUGAAACUAAAGAACUUGAACAACUGUUUAGCCGGAGGAAUAC